rnacentral:rRNA from 1 species
GACGAGCGCUGGCGGCGUGCUUAACACAUGCAAGUCGAACGGAAAGGCCCUGCUUUUGUGGGGUGCUCGAGUGGCGAACGGGUGAGUAACACGUGAGUAACCUGCCCUUGACUUUGGGAUAACUUCAGGAAACUGGGGCUAAUACCGGAUAGGAGCUCCUGCUGCAUGGUGGGGGUUGGAAAGUUUCGGCGGUUGGGGAUGGACUCGCGGCUUAUCAGCUUGUUGGUGGGGUAGUGGCUUACCAAGGCUUUGACGGGUAGCCGGCCUGAGAGGGUGACCGGCCACAUUGGGACUGAGAUACGGCCCAGACUCCUACGGGAGGCAGCAGUGGGGAAUAUUGCACAAUGGGCGGAAGCCUGAUGCAGCAACGCCGCGUGCGGGAUGACGGCCUUCGGGUUGUAAACCGCUUUCGCCUGUGACGAAGCGUGAGUGACGGUAAUGGGUAAAGAAGCACCAGCUAACUACGUG